GCAAACUUGGUCAUUUAGAGGAAGUAAAAGUCGUAACAAGGUUUCCGUAGGUGAACCUGCGGAAGGAUCAUUAUUGAAUGAACUUGGUUGGGUUGUUAUGCUGGCUCCUUGGAGCAUGUGCACGCCUCAUCCCAUUUUCUUAACACUUCCUUGUGAACCUUGUGUAGACCUGGAUAACUCAAGGAUAACUUUUCCUUGGUCAGAGGAUUUGCUGUGCGGUUAAAGCCAGCUAUUCUUGAAUUCUUGUCUAUGUGUUAUAUAUGCAAUCAGAAAUGUAUUUGAAUGACGUUAAAUUGGCUUAUUAUGCCUUUGAAAUAUAUAUAUAUAACUUUCAACAACGGAUCUCUUGGCUCUCGCAUCGAUGAAGAACGCAGC
rnacentral:misc_RNA from 1 species